GAUGAACGCUAGCGGCAGGCUUAAUACAUGCAAGUCGAGGGGCAGCAUGGUGUAGCAAUACACUGAUGGCGACCGGCAAACGGGUGCGGAACACGUACAGAACCUUCCUUCGAGCGGGGAAUAGCCCAGAGAAAUUUGGAUUAAUACCCCAUAGUAUUAUGGAGUGGCAUCACUUUGUAAUUAAAGAUUUAUCUCUUGAAGAUGGCUGUGCGGCUGAUUAGGUAGUUGGCGGGGUAACGGCCCACCAAGCCUGCGAUCAGUAACUGGUGUGAGAGCACGACCAGUCACACGGGCACUGAGACACGGGCCCGACUCCUACGGGAGGCAGCAGUAAGGAAUAUUGGUCAAUGGACGAAAGUCUGAACCAGCCAUGCCGCGUGGAGGAUGAAGGUCCUCUGGAUUGUAAACUUCUUUAUAUGGCGAAAAAGGCCUUUCUAGGUCGUCUGACGGUACCAUAUGAAUAAGCACCGGCUAACUCCGUGCCAGCAGCCGCGGUAAU
rnacentral:rRNA from 1 species